AAACUUGAAACAACGUAAAAUUAUUAGCCUUGCAUAUUAAAACAAAAACAACCAAAACAACAUUAUAGCUAUAGCAAAUAAAUAAGACCAAAGUUAAGUCGCGUCUUAUGUAAGUCGCGACCUAUUUUGUUCCGUAUAAAUGGCCCUAAUUUCGAUUUGAGUACUCAAUGAAAAACAUUUCUAAUUUGGGUAUGGGGUAUUUGAGAUAUGUGAAUUUUGUGAAUUUCUGGCAUAAAGUUUUGGGCAUCUUCUUUCGGGUAUCUUGAUUAUUUUUAAUGAACAUUUAUACGAAGCCAUUUGGUACACCUCCCCUUGGCCCACGCCGUAGGGGGCUGUUCAUCUAGAGCCGGGCUGGACUUAUCCUGGAUGAUUCGUUUAAGCUCUCAUCACGACUUUAAUAUACAUCCAAA